rnacentral:rRNA from 1 species
CCCUUAGAUGUUCUGGGCCGCACGCGCGCUACACUGACGAAGUCAGCGAGCAUCUCCUUCGCCGAAAGGUGCGGGGAAUCUUGUGAAACUUUGUCGUGCUGGGGAUUGAUUUUUGAAAUUCUUGAUCAUCAACGAGGAAUUCCUAGUAAGCGCAAGUCAGCAGCUUGCGUUGAUUACGUCCCUGCCCUUUGUACACACCGCCCGUCGCUCCUACCGAUUGAAUGUUCCGGUGAGCUCUUCGGACUGCGCGGUCUGCAGUUUCUGCGUUCCGUGCGGAAAGUUGCGCAAACCUUAACAUUUAGAGGAAGGAGAAGUCGUAACA